GCGACAGCUUAGUGGUUAGAGCAUUCGGCAAAGAAUACUGAAAGUUGUGGGUUUAAAUCCCGCGAGUCGUG